UUUUACUCCAUUUCAGCCAGUUGUAGAUUUAUGAAAUGGCUUUUAAGUCCAAACGGAAACUUCUUUAAUGAGGGGUGAAAAUAACUCUUUUUUUUUUUGCCAGUACAUUUUAUUUUGAGGAAUUUUUAUUAUUGUUUUUAUUGUGCUAUACAUUUUUUUCUGCUUCCCUCCCUUCCUCCCUCUCCGCUUUUACCCUCUUCCGUGAUCCACACACUCCCAAUUUAUUCAAGAGAUUUUGUCUUUUUUCGCCUUCCUAUUUAGAUCUAUGUAGGUCUCUGUUAGCAUACUCUCUGUUGUCUAGAUUCUCUGCAAUUGUGAUUUGUAGGCUGGUUUUCUUUGCUUUGUGUCUAAAAGCCACUUAUGAGUGAGUACAUAUGAUAUUUGUCUUUCUGGGUCUGGGUUACCUCACUCAAUAUGAUGUUUUCUAGCUUUAUCCAUUUGCCUGCAAAUUUCAGAAUGUCAUUUUUUUACCAUUGUAUAGUGCUCCAUUGUAGUAUCCAUUGUGUAAAUGUAUAUCUUGCUAUGCUGAUCAUUACUGUUGUCCACAGGCUUUACAUCUGGGUAGGAUUAUUAAUCACUUUUCUCCAUUGGCAGAGUUCAUAGCAUCUUCCCAUACUAUUAGAGCUAAUGCUCCAGGAGGAAGCUCUCAGGUCAACUCCACCCUGAUUCUUUCAAGGACUGUGUCAGAGGUGGUCCCAUGGAAAAGAAGAAACCAUGAAGAGGGACCACGAGGAAAAUUCUGUGGGCCAGACCUUAAAUACCCUCUGGGAGUGGAGCCACUGCUUGGGACCUUUCUUGGGGGCUGGAGACCUGGAGAAAGAAGAACAGUUGCUGCUCUCAUGAUAUUCAUGGCCUAAUAGGAGAUGGGCUGAUGGAGGAGGGUUAUCUGUCUAUGUGUUACUUUCAUUGGUUAAAGAAAGAAACUGCCUUAGCCCUUUGAUAGGACAGAAAAUAAGGUAGGCAGAGUAGACAGAACAGAAUGCUGGGAGAAAGAAGCCGAGACAAGCAGUCGCCAUGAUUCUCCCACUCCAGACAGACACAGGUUAAGAUCUUUCCUGGUAAGCCACCUUGUGGUGUUAAACAGAUUAUUAGAAAUGGGUUAGAUCAAUAUGUAAGAGCUAGCCAAUAAGAGACUGGAACGAAUGGGCCAGGCAGUGUUUAAAAGAAUACAGUUUCCGUGUAAUUAUUUUGGGUAAAGCUAGCCAGGUGGCAGAACGCAGUCCACUGCUCCACUUACAACAAUGGGCCAGUAAAUAAACAGUGAAAAUAAAAUGUGAACUGUGUUACAGUGGAGAUGUGAAUAGCAUUCUCUGGGAUUAUAUAGUAGUAUUACUUUUCAAGGGUGUUGUUCUGUGCCCCCAAAUGUCAAACCUUUACAACAGGCAUUUACAGAAUUAAAUUUUUACUGAAUGUUGUUGACAUGCAGGACUAGGAAUUAAUGGGUCAAAGUUGCCUCCUGGAUCAGUUGACUGGAGAUGAAUUUAUAGGAAGGGAAAUCUACUUGAUGGUCAGAGAACAAGAAAUUGUACAUGUUUUCUUUCAAGACAAAUUACUCUGUGCAGAAGACAUAAAUGAUGAGAAAAUCUGACUAGUUCUGCUCAUAUUCAUUCUUCCGAAGCCAGCUCCAUUCCAGGGAGAUAGCUCAAUUGGUAAAAGGCUUGCCAUACAAGCAUGAGGCCCUGAAUUCAAUAACCAGCAUCCAUAAUCCCAGCAUGGAGGAAGGGAAGAGAGGAGGAUCCUGGGCCUCGCUAACCAACUAGCCUAGCCCACUUGAUGAGACCCAGGCCAGUAAAAGAUGCUGUCUUAGAAAAUAAAAUGAAAGGUUCCCGGGGCCUAUCACUCAGAGUUGAUUUCUGACAUCUACACUCACACGCAUGCGCGCACACACACAUGAAGAAAAAAGACAAAGAAAGAAAUAAAAAGAAAAACAAUUUCACAUGCUAAGAAUCAUUAGGGAGAGGCCUGGUGGCUUACCCUGGAAGGCAAUUGAAGAAAGCAAUGUCAGGUUCUGCCCACCUUACCCCUUCUGCAGGGACUAAGACUGCCUUUGGGAGGAGGAAGAAAUGUUUUCUAGAUGGGUAUUAAUCAGAGCUGAGUCCGUUACUCAUCUCAUUGGAAUGUUUCAGUCAAUUUCUGGAGGGCAGGCAGAAGCAUGCAGGUUUGUAGAUUUCAUGCUUUUCCAAGGUGACACAUUUUGAAUUAAGUCUGACUCAACAGCUUUUCCUGUUACAGAAUUAAUAUGCCUUCCAGUGAGAAAGCACUUUGUGCUCUUAGAGAUGAGUAAAGGAAAAAGCUUUUUAAUAAUAGUGUAUGACUGGUUCUGCCUAAUGCACCAAAAAAGAAACUUCCUUAAACAGAAAAUUUCCCAGUUUAUAUAGGCUUCGGCUUAUACACUCCACAUACACUGUCAUCCUUGAAUCCACUUCAGGUUAGUCCCAAGUCACUGAAAGAUAGGACAUUAGUGAUCCUGGCAGGUUCCACUGUGGCGGGGGGACCAUGCAGGAAACAGAAUAUGCCAUGCAAAGAGAGCUUGGGGAGUAUGAAGUUUUAUUUAGGAAGACGGUAUUGGGAAGGUUUGGGAGGGUAGCGUGGAGGAAGGGAGAGAUACAGAGACAGAAAGAGAGAGACAGAGAGAAGAGAGAGGAAAGAGAAGAGGAAGGGGGAGGGAGAGGUAGCAGCUGCCUCUUCAGAGAGAGAAAAGAGAGCUUGCCUCUGGGGAAAGGGAGAGAUUGGAAGUGGGCAGAGUUUGUCUCUUAAAGGGAUGGGGUACUAAGAGGCAGUCACACUUUGAGCCAUUUAAACAGAGAUAGGGAUAAACCAGUCUGCUACCAUGUUGGGCUUGAAAGCCAUUUUAUAGUAAAGACAAACUACGUUCAUUCCUAUUUAUGAUUAAAUUUAUGUUUCUCAAGCAUUGGGCUAUGCCACACCUGUAACUUUAGCCACAAAUGGUUCUGUACUGUCUGUUCCAGGAAACAGCAACCAUGUCUUUAUUUCAAGAGGUUGUUAUGACUUGUUAUGCUUAUGUUGGGCUUCUGUAACCCCACCUAUUUGUCCAUCAAAUCCCCCAUUUGGAACCCCCCUACACCUAAGCUAUAAAAACCCUUAU